rnacentral:lncRNA from 1 species
CAUAUGGUGAAACAACCUGGAAUACCCUCAGAGGUCAGAACUCAAUAGUUCAAACAAUUCAUCAAAGGUAAUGCUAUUGAAUUUCAUUGAAACCUAUCCAGAUCCACUCUACUACCAGUGCCAUCAAUAGUCACAAGACCUCGAAUAAUAAUAAUAAUAAUAAUAAUAGCAACAAUAACAAGGAAGAAGAAGAAGAAGAAGAAGAAGAAGAAGAAGAUUAAUGAUGGCAAGUAGUAGAAAGGAUGGAGGCCAACAACAAAACCAUAGCAACCUCUCCACACAUAAAGCAUCCAUCAUCGGGCAGAGCAGGUUGAUGAGCAAACUAAUAUCAAAGACUUCUCAGGGCAAGUGAUCUCAAGACCAAACUUAAACAAGUAAAAGAUAUCUCUAAGACUGCAUGCUCAUAGAAGGAAAACAAAAUUGAAAAAUACAUGCACACAUUCAUUUAUAGUUUGGCACUGCACAAGGCAUUUAUUAAUAACAGAUGUCAAAAUAUAAACACCAUGCAUUGUGCACUUUGAACUAAGUUGAUCUCUUUUGGCUGAAGACAUUUGACUUCGAAAACGCUAAAAGUGCAAUUAAAAACAGCCCUCAGAUCUCAUAGCUAUGUAAAGAUCAUGUACAGUUCACCAUAAAGGCAUUCAUCAAUAGCUUUUCACACACCACCUGACCACCAAAGAAAUAUAUAUAUACAUAUAUACAUAUAUACACACAAAAACAUGUGUACAUAGAGAGAGAGAGAGAGAGAGAGAGAGAGAGAGAGAGAGAGAGAGUGAAAGGAGGUGGUGUGCAAAAGCCAAAGAUGAAUCGAAAACCAGACCCAUUCAAUAAAAAUGAGUUUUCCAUCAUAGGGCAAAAGUCAGUGACGGAUCUCAUGAAACCCAGGACUCAAAUGUCUAAAACCCUACAUAACAUUGUAGAAAGAAAGAACUAUGAUCUACAUACAUUGAGAAAGCAAAAAGCACAAUGGUCACAAAGGAUCUAAUCAAGUUUCAAAUAUCAACCCUAAAGGGUCAACAACUUAAAAGGAGGAUGUAAUUCAAAGAAAACAAAAAAACCACAGAUUUCAUCAGUAUCAUAACUCAACAAUAGUGAAGCUCGUGAUUCUCAUAAAAUCGAAUCUACAUCUUCAGAGAUAAAAGGAAAAAAACAACAGCAAACAAAAAAACUGCACCAUCUAACAACUUCUCAUCAUUGGGCACAUGCCAAAGCCUUUGAAAUUCAUUAAGCAUAUUUUAAACAGAUGGUAUUACAAGCAAUUAAAGAUUGACUACCUAGGUUCAAUAGAACCAAAGUGAAUCACUAAGGAUUAGCAGAUAACAUUUUUUCUUCUUUAAGUAUUACCAGAUAAUGAACAUGGAAAGUAUAAGUGAGAUUAAACAAGAAAUGGUUGAGAAGGAUUUCUAAGAUAAUUAAAUGUUUAAUGGUUUCAAAGCAGAAACUCAAGAUGAGGAAGAUACUAUAAUUGAUGAAAAGGAUAUAUGAAGUGCAUCAAAAAGGACAUGAUCAACAUUUAAUUAUAAACUGUCUUCAAGCAAAUAUAUUAAGCAUUUAAAAAAGACAAAGCUGUAUCACAGUUUAGCAUAAUUUUUAGAGGCUUCAAUGAUUUCAUCAGGCAACAAAAUACCAUGCAUUGUCAAUAUUGUAAUUGCAAAUAAGAUGUAUUCAGUGAGAUAGAAAUGAAGCUAAAAACUCAUACAAACCAUCCCAAUGAGACCAUACUACUAAUCAAUAGCAACAAAUUUCCAUACCGUAGUCACUAAAGGACAAAAUCAACAGCCAAAAGAAUUCCCAUUGUAGACAACUGCUAAUUACUUAUGCAUUCUGUUAAGGGUAGCCAAGAGUAUGAUCAAGAUGCAAGUUAUAAGCAAAGAAACACAAAUAGCAUGAUAAAGUCUGAGACUAAAAAUGAUCAACAAAGCCCUCAGAUCUCAUCGCUAUAUUUGGUCAUUCACAUUAUUAACAGAUUCUCAUUAAGAGAAUUUAUGAAUCAUCAGCCGUGCCAAUAAGAAGACAGAUAGAAUUACUGAUAGAAAAAGUGAGUCAGUUAAUGCUUUCUAGGCUGCAUGUACAUCAGGAUUGCAAACUUUUUUUUUUCAAAAAAACAAGAUAGAAAAAAAAAAACUGCUCAACACCCAGUUUGUGCAUCAUCAUUCUUCCUGAAACUAGCAUUAACUAAAACAAUGAUUUAGCAGUCAAAAUAUAAAAGAGUACUGAACAUUUAGUUCCAUUUGGCAGGGUUGAUAACCUAAAAUAAAAAAACUGGUAUUUUAUAAAAGUUAAUAAAAAAAAAAAAGAGAAGCCCUCAGAUCUCAUAGCUUUUGAACAAAUCAUCGUGCUAAUGGCAGUUCAUCCAAAGCCUUUACACACCACCAUUUGUAUAAAUGUGUGUAUGUAUGUAUAUAUAUAUUUAUGAAGUGGAAGGAGGUAGUGAUGAUGGUGACAGUGGUGGAAGUGGUAGAGUUGGUCGUGGCGGCGGUGGUGAGUAAAAGCUCAAGGAGAACAAAAGCCAAAGCAACCGCUCAAUGGUCUUAGUUUCUACAUCAUCAGGCCAAUUAUCAUGAGUAUAUCAAAACAGUUGGAAAUGAAAGUGAAAAAUAAAAGGGAAAAAAAAAACAUACAAGUGAGUAGUGAGCGAUUUUUUUUUUCUCGAGAAAUAUAGUGAGG